CUCCAUCUCCUGUCGGUCUCUUCUUUCUAGUGACAUUUUGUUCCCGGCCAAAGUUCAGCCAUGAAGAUCCUUUACCUUCUCUUUGCUGUUAUGUUGGUGCUCCAAGUUGCUCCUGGCCUGGCAAAGAAUAUUUGGACCCCAUCGCAAUGUGGACACCUUGGGGGUGUCUGCAGUGCGCCUUGUCCCCGCUGUAGUACACCUUUCGGAAGGUGUGUCACACGGGGCUUCUGCUGCAUACGAUGGCGUUGCUGACAGCUCUGCCCCGGUUUCAGCAGGAUCUCUCGUAAUCUGGUGACAUCCUCUCACCUCUAGAAUGAUUAGAUCCUGCUACAAUGGAAGCAUGAAACUCUGUACAUUUGGACCGGACAGAGCCACGUGUGCUGGAGAAAUCCAAACAGGAGAGCUUCUAUCACUGAUAAAAGAUUGCAACUCCCCUUUUCAUAAAAGCAAGUUGUUGUUACAUCACA